UGAAGAUCUUCUGCCGCACUGAUCAGAAGUCUAUCUGUUAUCUCUGCUCUUUGGACCAACACAAAGGUCAUGACACAGUCUCAGCUGCAGCAGAAAGGACUGAGAGGCAGAAAGAUCUGGAGGAGAGUCGAGAAAACAUCCAGCAGAGAAUCCAGGACAGAGAAGAAGAUGUGAAGCUGCUCCAACAGGAGGUGGAGGCUAUCAACGGCUCUGCUGAUAAAGCUGUGGAGCACAGCCAGGAGAUCUUCAGCCAGCUGAUCCGUCUCAUGCAAAAGUGCCGCUAUGAUGUGAAGCAGCAGGUCAGAUCCCAGCAGGAACGUGAAGUGAGUCGAGUCAAAGAGCUUCAGGAGAAGCUGGAGCAGGAGAUCACUGAGCUGAAGAGGAAAGACGCUGAUCUGCAGAAGCUCUCACUCACAGAGGACCACAACCAGUUUCUGCACAGCUACCCCUCACUGUCAGAACCGGGUCAACCUGCAGACUCAUCCAGGAUCAACAUCUGUCCUCAGAGAUACUUUGAGGAGGUGACAGCAGCUGUGUCAGAGCUCAGAGAGAAACUCCAGGAUCUUCUGACAGAGACGUGGACAAACGUCUCACAGGCAGUGACUGAAGUGGAUGUUUUACUGUUAGAACCACCAGGACCAGCAGAACCCAAGACCAGAGCUGGUUUCUUAAGAUAUUCACAAAGAAUCACACUGGAUCCAAACACAGCAAACGAAUGGCUGUUAUUAUCUGAUGGAAACAGAAGAGCAACAUUGACAGGAGAAGAACAGUCUUAUCCUGAUCAUCCAGACAGAUUCACUUAUUAUUUUCAGGUCCUGAGUAGAGAGAGUCUGACUGGACGUUGUUACUGGGAGGUGGACUGGAGAGGGGAUGGGGUUUUUGUAGCAGUCGCAUACAAGACUAUCAGGAGAGCAGGAGACUCCCAGGAUUGUGUAUUUGGAUUCAGUGACAAAUCUUGGAUGUUAUUCUGUUCUAAAGACAGGUAUAAAUUUAUUCACAACAAAGUCCGCACUGAUAUCCCAGUUCCUCAGUCCUCCAGAGUAGGAGUGUACCUGGAUCACAGAGCAGGUAUUCUGUCCUUCUACAGCAUCUCUGAAACCAUGACUCUCCUCCACAGAGUCCAAACCACAUUCACUGAACCUCUACAUGCUGGACUCUUCACUUCAGACUCUGCUGAGUUUAUAGAAGUGAAAUAAACAGAAUUUUGAGUCCAUCAGACCAAAAUCAUGAACUGAGAUCCUUGAACUCUUGAAAUGUUCUGGUUUGUAAAUGUUUGUGGAUCAGUCUCACCAAAAACUCUGGGUUUAGUUCUUCAUUUCAGCUUUUUGAUUCUUUUCUAAAGAUGCUGAUUUGGUCGCAGCUUUAAGGACAGUGAUUGUGGAGAACUUUGAUUGUUUGUAUUUCUCAUGUUGAAAAAUCUUCAUCAAGUUUGAUAUCAACAACAUCAAGAUGAUGGUUUGUUCAAAUCACCUUCAGUUGGUGCAGAUGUUGAAGGUCUGAGACUUUAGAAAAAAGUGAGGUCAAAAUCACAGAAAAAGGACGACCUUAUUUCCUGUCCCAGAUCCAAGCGUCUAAAGUCUUUCCAGUCGUCCCCAAAAACUCUUCAGAUGAUCUGUUUCUUUCUCUGUUUGCUGAAUAUUUGUGUUCAUGUGAUCGAUGGAUAUUUCUGUCUGCUUCUGUUGGAUCAGUGUGUUUGUAAAGGCAUCUAGAAUCAGACUUUGGACAGAUCUACAUGUUGUUAUGAGCUUUUUAAUCACUCUAAUAAUAAUAAUCACAUUCAUUAGUCCGACUGUUUUUCUGUUUCUGACUCAGCUCAGAUUGUGGUCAAGUCUCUGAUUGUGGGUGAAAACAAUAAAAAUCAUCAAACUGAGUCACUGAAAUCACCUCGUCUGUUUUUCUUUAUUUGGUCUGUUUCUGCUGGAUGUCAUGUUACCGGUCUGUCUGGGUCAUGGAUUCAUGUGGUCUGUAGGAUUUCCAUGAUGUGGUCACUCACAGGUGUUACAGGUCCCAGAUGUGGGUCCUGCAGCUGGAUCAGGUUUUCUUUAAGUAAGAAUAAAAAUAUUGAAAGAGAUAUAAGAUGUAUAUGUCAAGACAAGCAUUAUUAAAUCAUUAUUUGUUACUUUGAGUCGUUUAUUUAAGAGUUUUGUACCUCUGCAUUUUAUUUUGAAAAGUCCGCGGACUUCCGGUGUUACUUAUCACGCCAGUUGUGUCCGAGUUUGGCAGAAGCUAACAGUCCAUUGGUAAGAAAUCGCCUGCUAACAAUGUGUAGCCUCUGAAUUUAUAACGUGUUGGUGCUUAUUUCAUUGUCCUUGGAGAGAAAUAAGAGAAUGUUGAAUUAGAGAGUGUGAUUAAGUGUCCGUGGUUAGCAUUUGGUUAGCGCCGCUAGCUUCCGUUAGCAAUCGCUAGCUCCCGAUUAGCAUGCAAGGCUAACUCUAUUGGCAUACUUAUCUAGAGCUUAGCUGGCUGUUGUUAGCGUUUAGCUUGUAAUGUAAGCUGCUACUGUUGGUACUGUGAUACUGUGGUUAACCAGUUAGGUUCACUGUGUUUAUUGCAGUUUAUUACUUCAAUUCAUUUGAAGACAUUUGACUGAUUUAUAUUUUAAAAAAUCUAUGUUUUAUUUAACGUAAAAGGUAUCGUACAGAGUAAAAAUAGCUACUUAAAAGUUGGAAGUUCAUCAAUAUUAUCAUAUGUAACCUGUUAUAUUUGGUCCAUUAUUUCAGGUUUAUAAUAAUAAUGUUAUUUUUGCGGCACUUUUAAAAACAGAAGUUUACAAAGUUCUUUGACUAAUAGUCAAACAGCACAGAACAUCAGCGCAUGGAAAUAAAAACAACUAAAAACAAAAGCUCAGUUAAAACAAGGCCUCUGAAUUGAAGGCCAAUUUUAUUUGUCAUAAGGAACCCAGAAAAUACAAGAACCCCACAACAUAAAGUGAGACCAUGAGGACCAGAAUAAACACUUAAAAUAGGUAAGAAAAAGAAAUGAAAUAAAAAGGGGGGUUAAAAGCAGAAAACAGGAUAGUAAUAAAAAGAUGAUAUUAAAAAUGAUAAUAAAAUAACAAAAUAAUAAUGAUCAAAAUAGUAAUAAAAAAAUAGAAUAACAAAAAUGAGCAAGAAAAAAACUACCAAUAAAAGGCCUAAUAGGUUAAAUAAGAAAAGAAUACAGUUAUAACAAAGGCUGAAAAGACAGUAAGCAAAAACAAGAUUGAGGUAAAAGAGAAAAAAGAGAAAAGACCUGUGUCACCUUUGUGGUCAAAAGAUGAAAGAAGUCCAAGGACAAAACAUUAGUUGUACCUUGAGUGUGCUUCCUGUCAAGCCUUUUUUGGAGGGCUGAGUAUUUAAUAUCCGAUCAGUAUAUCUAUGUGUGUGAUUGCUGAUUGGCUUUAAGUUAAACUGCACUUUAAGUUUCAUAUCUUCUUUAACAGAUCACAACAUGACAGCAUCUUAAAACAGACUGAAUACAAACACAUAUACUGAACGCUCCUCUCUUGAAGGGUUAAACAGGUCAAAGCACCACCUGGCUGACAUUCCUCUGAGGGAAAGUAAACAACAUGAGAAACUGCAAAAAUAACUUUAGAGGAUUCAUAAAUAUUACAUGACACCCAAGAACAUGCAACAAAAUACAAAACUGCCUCAUUAGACACACAUGCACAGAAAUGUGACACUAUUUGGAAGUGUCUGUGAUCCAUGAGGUUUCUAUGAGGUGAAUAAAUGUUGGUUCAGUUGAUCUUCAGGACGGCUGCAGCUUUAAUAACCUCUGCUUGUUGGAGUUUGAGAGUCUGAAGUUCACAUUGCCGCUCCUCUUUCUGGAUUGUAGAAAAACUGGAUUUCCCCUCCCAGAUCUGAUCAGGUGUUCAGUCUGAGGAUGGGUGUAACCAACAUAUAUUGAGCUGACACAGGAUCAGAGCGCAGACCAGGAAAUAAAACUCAGUCGUCGACAGCGACUUGUCUCUCACACAGCACACUCCACUCUGCUCUCUUCACUUCCUGUUUCCCUCCCCUUCAGAUCUGAAGUUUGAGGGCGGGUGUAGCCAGCGUGUGCUGAGCUGAUAUCCUGUUGACACACGUUGAGAUCAGAGCAUGAACUAGUUUCACUUCUGAGGAAAUAAAACUCAGUCAGUCGUCGUCGACAGCGAGUGUUGAAAUGGCGCAGAAAGGAGUUCAUCUGAACCGUGAGUCUCUCUCUUGUUCCAUCUGUUUGGAUCUACUGAAGGAUCCGGUGACUGUUUCCUGUGGACACAGCUUCUGCAUGAGCUGUAUUCAAUCCUACUGGGAUACUGAGGCUGAAAAGGGGAACUACAGCUGUCCUCAGUGCAGACGGACCUUCAGAUGGAGGCCUGGCCUGAUGAAAAACACAGAGUUAGCAGGUUUAGUGGAGGAAGUGAAGAAGAGUGGACUCCAAGCUGCUCCUGAUGAUCCCUCUGAGGCUGGACCUGAAGAUGUGGCCUGUGAUUUCUGCAAUAGGAAAAAAAAAAUGAAAGCUGUCAUGUCCUGUCUUCAAUGUCUGGUUUCUUACUGCCAGAUUCACCUCCAGCCUCAUUUUGAAUCACCUUCAUUUAAGAAACACAAGCUGGUGGAGCCCUCCAAGAAGCUCCAGGAGAACAUCUGCUCUCGUCAUGAUGAGGUGAUGAAGAUCUUCUGCCGCACUGAUCUGAAGUCUAUCUGUCAUCUCUGCUGUUUGGACCAACACCAAGGCCACGACACAGUCUCAGCUGCAGCAGAAAGGACUGAGAGGCAGAAAGAUCUGGAGGAGAGUCGAGAAAACAUCCAGCAGAGAAUCCAGGACAGAGAAGAAGAUGUGAAGCUGCUCCAACAGGAGGUGGAGGCUAUCAACGGCUCUGCUGAUAAAGCUGUGGAGCACAGCCAGGAGAUCUUCAGCCAGCUGAUCCGUCUCAUGGAGAAACGCCACUCUGACGUGGAGCAGCAGGUCAGAUCCCAGCAGGAACGUGAAGUGAGUCGAGUCAAAGAGCUUCAGGAGAAACUGGAGCAGGAGAUCACUGAGCUGAAGAGGAAAGACGCUGAUCUGCAGAAGCUCUCACUCACAGAGGACCACAACCAGUUUCUGCACAGCUACCCCUCACUGUCAGAACCGGGUCAACCUGCAGACUCAUCCAGGAUCAACAUCCGUCCUCUGAGAUACUUUGAGGAGGUGACAGCAGCUGUGUCAGAGGUCAGUGAUAAACUCCAGGAUCUUCUGACAGAGACGUGGACAAACGUCUCACAGGCAGUGACUGAUGUGGAUGUUUUACUGUCAGAACCACCAGAACC